rnacentral:rRNA from 1 species
UGCGUAAUAGCUCACUGGUCGAGAGGUCCUGCGCCGAAAAUGUCCGGGGCUGAAACAUGACACCGAAGCUGAGGAACCGAAAGGUUGGUAGAGGAGCAUUCGUAAAGGGAAGAAGCUGUACCGGAAGGAGCAGUGGACGUUUACGAAGAGAGAAUGCCGGAAUGAGUAGCGAGAUGGAGGUGGGAAUCCUCCAGGCCGAAUAUCCAAGGUUUCCAGGGUAAAGCUGAUCUGCCCUGGGUAAGUCGGGGCCUAAGGCGAGGUCGAAGGACGUAGCCGAUGGACAACAGGUUGAAAUUCCUGUACUGCAUGAUGACAGAACUGUGGGGACACGGGCAGAAAGCCUGGGCCGGAAAUGGAAAAGCCGGUGCAAGCGGAGGAGCCGUGUAGGAGGAAAAACCCCUAUGCAAGGCAGAGCCGUGACGCGGAGCGAAAUAAAAGUAGCGAAGCAGGCGGGCUGGCCGUCAAGAAAAGCCGCUAUUGUUCAUCAUGUACCCGUACCGCAAACCGACACAGGUGGAUGAGGAGAGAAUCCUAAGGCCGGCGGAAGAAGUAUUGUUAAGGAACUCGGCAAAAUGACCCCGUAACUUCGGGAGAAGGGGUGCCAGGGAAACCUGGCCGCAGAGAACUGGUCCAAGCAACUGUUUAACAAAAACACAGGUUUAUGCAAAACCGCAAGGUGAAGUAUAUGAGCUGACGCCUGCCCGGUGCUGGAAGGUUAAGAGGAGAGGUUAGCGGAAGCGAAGCUUUGAAUCCAAGCCCCAGUAAACGGCGGCCGUAACUAUAACGGUCCUAAGGUAGCGAAAUUCCUUGUCGGGUAAGUUCCGACCCGCACGAAAGGCGUAAUGAUUUGGACGCUGUCUCGACAAUACAUCCGGUGAAAUUGAAGUACCAGUGAAGAUGCUGGUUACCCGCGCCAGGACGGAAAGACCCCAUGGAGCUUUACUCCAGUUUGAUACUGGGAUUCGGUGCUGCAUGUACAGGAUAGGUGGGAGGCUGAGAAUUAAGGACGCCAGUCUUUAAGGAGCCGGUGUUGGGAUACCACCCCUGCAGUAUUGGAUUUCUAACCUGCGGCCGUAAGCCGGCCGGGGGACAAUGUCAGACGGGGAGUUUGACUGGGGCGGUCGCCUCCGAAAGGGUAU